UACGAGGGGAGCUAGCGUUGUUCGGAAUUACUGGGCGUAAAGCGCGCGUAGGCGGUUUUCCAAGUCAGGGGUGAAAGCCCGGGGCUCAACCCCGGAAUAGCCCUUGAAACUGGAGAACUAGAAUCUUGGAGAGGUCAGUGGAAUUCCGAGUGUAGAGGUGAAAUUCGUAGAUAUUCGGAAGAACACCAGUGGCGAAGGCGACUGACUGGACAAGUAUUGACGCUGAGGUGCGAAAGCGUGGGGAGCAAACAGG
rnacentral:rRNA from 1 species